UACGUAGGGUGCGAGCGUUGUCCGGAAUUAUUGGGCGUAAAGAGCUCGUAGGCGGUUUGUCGCGUCGGCCGUGAAAACUUGGGGCUUAACCCCAAGCUUGCGGUCGAUACGGGCAGACUUGAGUUCGGCAGGGGAGACUGGAAUUCCUGGUGUAGCGGUGAAAUGCGCAGAUAUCAGGAGGAACACCGGUGGCGAAGGCGGGUCUCUGGGCCGACACUGACGCUGAGGAGCGAAAGCGUGGGGAGCGAACAGG
rnacentral:rRNA from 1 species